rnacentral:rRNA from 1 species
AUUGAACGCUGGCGGAAUGCUUUACACAUGCAAGUCGAACGGCAGCACGGACUUCGGUCUGGUGGCGAGUGGCGAACGGGUGAGUAAUACAUCGGAACGUGCCCAGUCGUGGGGGAUAACGUAGCGAAAGCUACGCUAAUACCGCAUACGAUCUAAGGAUGAAAGCGGGGGAUCGCAAGACCUCGCGCGAUUGGGGCGGCCGAUGGCAGAUUAGGGAGUUGGUGGGGUAAAGGCUCACUAAGCCGACGAUCUGUAGCUGGUCUGAGAGGACGACCAGCCACACUGGGACUGAGACACGGCCCAGACUCCUACGGGAGGCAGCAGUGGGGAAUUUUGGACAAUGGGCGCAAGCCUGAUACAGCCAUUCCGCGUGCAGGAUGAAGGCCCUCGGGUUGUAAACUGCUUUUGUACGGAACGAAAAGGCUCUGGUUAAUACCUGGGGCUCAUGACGGUACCGUAAGAAUAAGCACCGGCUAACUACGUGCCAGCAGCCGCAGUAA